CAUUCAUGUGCCUUCCUCAGAGCUUUGUAUUUCAAGCCUGCCAUCUGCCCUUGACUUCCUGGUGGAGAAGGUGAGGUUGGUAAGAGCCCACAAUUUGCUCAGUGCAAACAUGGCCUUUGCUGAUUUGAACAGAGUUCUUUGGGUUUCCUUAUUCCACCAAGAAUUCAAGUCUGUAAAAGAAAUUACUAAAAACGAUUUCUUUCCAAAAUCGAAAACAGAUUUCCUGAAUGUUGUUCUUUCCUUGGGACAUAUGCAAAAACAUUUCCUCCCUUUUAGGGUGGUUUAUCUUUAAAACCCAAAGCCAGGGUCUGUUAGAUACAUGUUGAAAACCCAGGGUUCUGUGAGUUGAUGCUGACUAAGCCAUCCACGGUCCUCGUCUUUACUGUCUCCCUGCCACUGCCCAGAUUCGGCCCAGGUUUCCUCAUCGAAAGGGGUGUGCUUAGUGCUAACACAUGUGUGGCAGUGGGAAAGGCCAACACAGCCCCCUGCUCUUCUCUGUGCCAAGUUAAACAGCUGAAGGCAAGUUUCACAGACAUGCUUGGUAAAUGGUUCUAAAUUUUUUCCCAAGUGAUAGAAAUAUAGCGUUCUUCCACCGUAUAGAGAUUACCACUCUCCUGGACGGCGUCUGUAACCUCUUUACAACAUUUCAGAGCUAUUUGUAAAAAUUCAUGAAUUGUACUGUUUAGCCAUCCUCCUGAUGUGUCAGACAGAAUAUAUUUCUGAAUGACAAACUGCAUUAUUUCCGUAAGAAUAAAAGCAGGUUUAUAACCCAGGAAACUUUCUUAAAUCCAAUAUAUCCUCUCCAAAAAAAAAAAAGU
rnacentral:lncRNA from 1 species